GAUGAACGCUGGCGGCGUGCCUAAUACAUGCAAGUAGAACGCUGAAGGAGGAGCUUGCUCUUCUGGAUGAGUUGCGAACGGGUGAGUAACGCGUAGGUAACCUGCCUGGUAGCGGGGGAUAACUAUUGGAAACGAUAUCUAAUACCGCAUGACAACAGUUAUUGCAUGAUAACUGUUUAAAAGUUUCACCUGCUCCACUACCAGAUGGACCUGCGUUGUAUUAGCUAGUUGGUGAGGUAACGGCUCACCAAGGCGACGAUACAUAGCCGACCUGAUAGGGUGGUCGGCCAAAAUGGGAAUGAGACAAGGACCAGAGUACUAAGGGAGGCAGCAGUAGGGAAUCUUCGGCAAAAGACGGAAGUCUGACCGAGAAAAGCCGAGUGAGUGAAGAAGGAGUUCGGAUCGUAAAGCUCUGUUGUAAGAGAAGGAAGAGUGUGAGAGUGGAAAGUUCACACUGUGACGGUAACUGACAAGAAAGGGACGGCUAACUACGUG
rnacentral:rRNA from 1 species